rnacentral:rRNA from 1 species
AAAGCCGGAUUAAUACCGCAUACGAUCUAAGGAUGAAAGUGGGGGACCGCAAGGCCUCACGCUCCUGGAGCGGCCGAUAUCUGAUUAGCUAGUUGGUGGGGUAAAAGCCUACCAAGGCGACGAUCAGUAGCUGGUCUGAGAGGACGACCAGCCACACUGGGACUGAGACACGGCCCAGACUCCUACGGGAGGCAGCAGUGGGGAAUUUUGGACAAUGGGGGAAACCCUGAUCCAGCAAUGCCGCGUGAGUGAAGAAGGCCUUCGGGUUGUAAAGCUCUUUUGUCAGGGAAGAAACGGUUCUGGAUAAUACCCGGAACUAAUGACGGUACCUGAAGAAUAAGCACCGGCUAACUACGUGCCAGCAGCCGCGGUAAUACGUAGGGUGCAAGCGUUAAUCGGAAUUACUGGGCGUAAAGCGUGCGCAGGCGGUUGUGCAAGACAGAUGUGAAAUCCCCGGGCUUAACCUGGGAACUGCAUUUGUGACUGCACGGCUAGAGUGUGUCAGAGGGGGGUAGAAUUCCACGUGUAGCAGUGAAAUGCGUAGAUAUGUGGAGGAAUACCGAUGGCGAAGGCAGCCCCCUGGGAUAACACUGACGCUCAUGC